rnacentral:rRNA from 1 species
AUGUCUCUUUCUUUCCUUUUUUUCUUUACUCUUUUCUCUCUUGGUACAUGCACAAAACAUGGGAAGGGGAAGAAAAAUUGUCUUUUCUCUUUCAGAACAGCACGCAAGAUCGCAAACGGAAAAAGAAACUAUAUAUGUCAUCAAGAAGCUCAAGUGUUUGAGGAGCGCUUAAAAUUAACAUUCGAAUGCCAUUCAUCACUCCCCGCAAAACAAAAUGCAAUCUAUUGUUAUCUGUUCACUGAGAGAGAGAUGCAGAAUUUCUUGGUAGUUGCCAAGUGGUUCUUAACAAAAGCGCUUUUGGAGCCUAGGAACAGAUAA